rnacentral:rRNA from 1 species
UACGUAGGGUGCAAGCGUUAAUCGGAAUUACUGGGCGUAAAGCGUGCGCAGGCGGUUAUGUAAGACAGCUGUGAAAUCCCCGGGCUUAACCUGGGAACUGCGCUUCUAACUGGCAGGCUUGAGUGUGGCAGAGGGGGGUGGAAUUCCACGUGUAGCAGUGAAAUGCGUAGAGAUGUGGAGGAACACCGAUGGCGAAGGCAGCCCCCUGGGCUAACACUGACGCUCAUGCACGAAAGCGUGGGGAGCAAACAGG